rnacentral:lncRNA from 10 species
GACAACACACAGCUACAAAGCCAAUUUUUUUCUUCCACAAAAUCUAUACAGACUUCACCAUAGAAGGAUGUAUGGUCUUGUUAAGGACUCAAGCCUCCCACCUAAGAAACAAGGACAGUCUCAUCAUGUUGCACUGGCAAAAAUGUCCGCUGAUUGUGAACGUUCAGCAAAAACAGAGAUGCAUGUGGGCUUGAGCAAUACAGUAUGAUAUGGAAAAAACCAUUUUAUCUCACACAACCUCAUUCAUCAUUGUUGACUGUUUACAAAUUAUUGUGAAAUGCUUUACAUAAAUAAAAUUGUUUUGCCUGUC